rnacentral:pre_miRNA from 14 species
AAGCAAGCAAGGUAUUGGCGCGCCUCAAUUUGAAUACAUGGCUAUAAAAAUGCAUCAUAUCAGCCAUGUAGUUUGAUUGAGCCGCGUCAAUAUCUUGUUUCCAUCU